rnacentral:rRNA from 1 species
UGAGCAAUCUGCCCUCCUCAUCGGAAUAAGCGUUGGAAACGACGCCUAAUGCCGAAUACGACCUCCUUUCACAUGAUCGGAGGUGGAAAGCUCCGGCGGAGAAGGAUGAGCUCGCGGCCUAUCAGCUAGUUGGUGUGGGUAACGCCCACCAAGGCGACGACGGGUAGCCGGCCUGAGAGGGUGACCGGCCACACUGGGACUGAGACACGGCCCAGACCUCCGUACGGGAGGNAGCG